GGCAGCAGUGGGGAAUAUUGGACAAUGGGCGCAAGCCUGAUCCAGCCAUGCCGCGUGAGUGAUGAAGGCCUUAGGGUUGUAAAGCUCUUUUGUCCGGGACGAUAAUGACGGUACCGGAAGAAUAAGCCCCGGCUAACUUCGUGCCAGCAGCCGCGGUAAUACGAAGGGGGCUAGCGUUGCUCGGAAUCACUGGGCGUAAAGGGCGCGUAGGCGGCCGAUUAAGUCGGGGGUGAAAGCCUGUGGCUCAACCACAGAAUUGCCUUCGAUACUGGUUGGCUUGAGACCGGAAGAGGACAGCGGAACUGCGAGUGUAGAGGUGAAAUUCGUAGAUAUUCGCAAGAACACCAGUGGCGAAGGCGGCUGUCUGGUCC
rnacentral:rRNA from 1 species